rnacentral:rRNA from 1 species
CGGAUUGUAAACCUUUUGUUUUUAGGGACGAAGAAAGUGACGGUACCUAAAGAGUAAGCUCCGGCUAACUACGUGCCAGCAGCCGCGGUAAAACGUAGGGAGCGAGCGUUGUCCGGAUUUACUGGGCGUAAAGGGCGCGUAGGUGGUUUGUUAAGUUAUAGGUGAAAGUUCGGGGCUCAACCCCGUGAUUGCCUGUGAUACUGGCAGACUUGAGUGCAGGAGAGGGGAGCAGAAUUCCCAGUGUAGCGGUGAAAUGCGUAGAUAUUGGGAGGAAUACCAGUGGCGAAGGCGGCUCUCUGGACUGUAACUGACACUGAGGCGCGAAAGCGUGGGGAGCGAACAGGAUUAGAUACCCUGGUAGUCCACGCCGUAAACGAUGAGUGCUAGGUGUUGCGGGUAUCGACCCCUGCAGUGCCGCAGUAAACACAAUAAGCACUCCGCCUGGGGAGUACGGUCGCAAGACUGAAACUCAAAGGAAUUGACGGGGGCCCGCACAAGCGGUGGAGUAUGUGGUUUAAUUCGACGCAACGCGAAGAACCUUACCAGGGCUUGACAUCCUCUGAAAAGUAUAGAGAUAUACUCCUUAUCCUUCGGGAUAACAGAGAGACAGGUGGUGCAUGGUUGUCGUCAGCUCGUGUCGUGAGAUGUUGGGUUAAGUCCCGCAACGAGCGCAACCCCUAACAUUAGUUGCCAGCAUGUAAAGAUGGGAACUCUAAUGUGACUGCCGUUGACAAAACGGAGGAAGGUGGAGAUGACGUCAAAUCAUCAUGCCCCUUAUGUCCUGGGCUACACACGUACUACAAUGGCCGGUACAGACGGAAGCGAAGCCGUGAGGUGGAGCAAGCCUGAGAAAGCCGGUCCCAGUUCGGAUUGUAGUCUGCAACUCGACUACAUGAAGUCGGAAUCGCUAGUAAUCGCAGGUCAGCAUACUGCGGUGAAUACGUUCCCGGGCCUUGUACACUCCGCCC